AUUGAACGCUGGCGGCAUGCCUUACACAUGCAAGUCGAACGGCAGCACGGGUGCUUGCACCUGGUGGCGAGUGGCGAACGGGUGAGUAAUAUAUCGGAACGUACCUUAUUGUGGGGGAUAACGCAGCGAAAGCUGUGCUAAUACCGCAUAAUCCCUAAGGGGGAAAGCGGGGGACCGUAAGGCCUCGCGCAAUUAGAGCGGCCGAUACCUGAUUAGCUAGUUGGUGAGGUAAGGGCGCGCCAAGGCAACGAUCAGUAGCUGGUCUGAGAGGACGAUCAGCCACACUGGGACUGAGACACGGCCCAGACUCCUACGGGAGGCAGCAGUGGGGAAUUUUGGACAAUGGGGGCAACCCUGAUCCAGCAAUGCCGCGUGAGUGAAGAAGGCCUUCGGGUUGUAAAGCUCUUUUGUCAGGGAAGAAACAGCAGCUCUAACACAGUUUGCGAAUGACGGUACCUGAAGAAUAAGCACCGGCUAACUACGUGCCAGCCGCCGCGGUAA
rnacentral:rRNA from 1 species